rnacentral:rRNA from 1 species
UUCCGGUUGAUCCUGCCGGAGGCUACCGCUAUUGGAGUUCGAUUAAGCCAUGCGAGUCGCGAGUCUUAGGGACUCGGCGUACCGCUCAGUAACACGUGGGUAACCUGCCCUAUGCUGGGGGAUAACCCCGGGAAACUGAGAAUAAUACCCCAUAGUUCACCACGCCUGGAACGGUGGGUGGACCAAAGCUCCGGCGGCAUAGGAUGGGCCUGCGGCGUAUCAGGUUGUAGGGGGUGUAAUGGACCUCCUAGCCAUCGACGCGUACGGGUGUUGGGAGACAUAGCCCGGAGAUGGAUUCUGAGACACGAAUCCAGGCCCUACGGGGCGCAGCAGUUACGAAAACUUGGCAAUGCGGGAAACCGUGACCAGGGAACUCCAAGUGAGUCUCUUUUAGGGGCUCUUUUCUUGACUCUAAAACGGUCUUGGAAUAAGGGGUGGGUAAGGACGGUGCCAGCCGCCGCGGUAAUACCGGCGCCUCAAGUGGUCGUCGCUUUUAUUGGGCCUAAAACGUCCGUAGCCGGUUUGGUACAUUCGUGGGUAAAUCAGCUCGCUCAACGAGUUGAAUUCUGCGAGGACGGCCAGACUAGGGACCGGGAGAGGUGUGGGGAACUCUCAGGGUAGGGGUAAAAUCCUGUCAUCCUGAGAGGACCACCUGUUGCGAAGGCGCCACACUAGAACGGAUCCGACGGUCAGGGACGAAGCCUAGGGGCACGAACCGGAUUAGAUACCCGGGUAGUCCUAGGUGUAAACGCUGUGGACUUGAUGUUGGGGGCGCUCCGAGCGCUCUCAGUGUCGAAGCGAAGGUGAUAAGUCCACUGCCUGGGGAGUACGGUCGCAAGGGCUGAAACUUAAAGGAAUUGGCGGGGAGCAC